UUCGAAUCGGUCUCAUAAAAUGGCUUGUUGGGGUGAGAUUGUGCCUCAAUCAGAGUAAUGACCCGAAUAGAAAUAAAUCGUAGACUGAAUGGGUAAAAUCUGUUAUAAAUAGUGACAUUUUUGUCGACGGCAGUUAUUUUCUCUCGACGUCGGUGAUGAUUUUGUUGGGGAUAAAACAAUUAAAACGGACUAAAAUGUGCUAAAUACAUAAUCAUCCCGGUUCAAAAAACUAAGCAGGAAAACAACGGAAUUUCACUGACUCGUGAAUGCUGAUAAUGCGUCGCUUCGCACAGCGCCAGGAAAUUGGCUAAUCCGUGGAUCUGCCGGCGAACCUUGCGAAGGUGAACUUGUUAAGUGCACAUACGUACGCGAAAGGGGUCCUGAUAACGCAGCUCAAAGUAUUCAGCCUUCUACCCUCGGUAACGGCGGAGAGUGCGGCAAAAUCAAUCGAUCACUGUGCUUUUAAACAAAUGUUAAAAUAUCGUUCUUAACUGAUAAUAAUGAAUUUCUCAAUAUUUUUAAGUAAGUAUACAAAA